rnacentral:tmRNA from 1 species
GGGGAUGAUCGGUUUCGACAUGGCUUGUGAAACUGCGUGAAGCGGGUCGAGGACGCGGGGUUAUCUCGUUAACGCCCUCCGCAAACUAUAAGUGCCAAUAACAAGCGCACUGACUUCGCCCUCGCUGCCUAGUAGCGAGCCCGAGUCCGUUAGCCCAGAUCUGUGUUCGGUCUGGUUCCUAGCGUCAUUUUGAACACUUGCUGCGUAGCCGCGUCACAGGGCUCCGCGGGACUUUUACUGUGACUGGGUUUGUGUCGGUCAAGGUGUUUGCCCCCAUGGCCGGAACCAAGUAACACGCUCGGCAAACUGCACCCGGAGAAUCCGCAGAAUCUCAGUCGUGGACCGGGGUUCAAUUCCCCGCAUCUCCACUU